UACAGAGGUCCCAAGCGUUGUUCGGAUUUACUGGGCGUAAAGGGUGCGUAGGUGGCGAGGUAAGUUCGAUGUGAAAUCUCCGAGCUCAACUCGGAAAUGGCAUUGAAUACUAUCCCGCUUGAGGGUCGGAGGGGAGACUGGAAUUCUCGGUGUAGCAGUGAAAUGCGUAGAUAUCGGAGAGGAACACCAGUGGCGAAGGCGAGUCUCUGGACGACUCCUGACACUGAGGCACGGAAAGCUGGGGGAGCAAACGAGG
rnacentral:rRNA from 1 species